GAUGAAGCCCAGCUUGCUGGGUGGAUUAGUGGCGAACGGGUGAGUAACACGUGAGUAACCUGCCCCCGACUCUGGGAUAAGCCCGGGAAACUGGGUCUAAUACCGGAUAUUACCUUUGACCGCAUGGUUGUUGGUGGAAAGAUUUAUCGGUGGGGGAUGGACUCGCGGCCUAUCAGCUUGUUGGUGAGGUAAUGGCUCACCAAGGCGACGACGGGUAGCCGGCCUGAGAGGGUGACCGGCCACACUGGGACUGAGACACGGCCCAGACUCCUACGGGAG
rnacentral:rRNA from 1 species